rnacentral:rRNA from 1 species
GACGUAGGGCGCGAACGUUGUUCGGAAUCAUCUAGGGCUUAAAGGGCGCGUAGGGCGGGUGUGCAAGUCUGUGGUGAAAAGCCCUGCCAGACUUAACCUGGAGAAGUGGCCAUGGAGUACUGCACAUCUUGAGGAGGGGUAGGGGCAUCUGGAAGCGGUCGGUGGAAGCGGUGAAAUGCGUUGAUAUCGACCGGAACUCCGGUGG